rnacentral:tRNA from 1 species
GCCGCCAUAGUUCAAUGGAUAGAACGAACGCCUCCUAAGCGUUAGAUGCAGGUUCGAUUCCUGCUGGUGGUACCA